rnacentral:rRNA from 1 species
UGCCUCGGCGGGGUCACGCCCCGGGUGCGUAAAAGCCCCGGAACCAGGCGCCCGCCGGAGGAACCAACCAAACUCUUUCUGUAGUCCCCUCGCGGACGUAUUUCUUACAGCUCUGAGCAAAAAUUCAAAAUGAAUCAAAACUUUCAACAACGGAUCUCUUGGUUCUGGCAUCGAUGAAGAACGCAGCGAAAUGCGAUAAGUAAUGUGAAUUGCAGAAUUCAGUGAAUCAUCGAAUCUUUGAACGCACAUUGCGCCCGCCAGUAUUCUGGCGGGCAUGCCUGUCCGAGCGUCAUUUCAACCCUCGAACCCCUCCGGGGGAUCGGCGUUGGGGAUCGGGACCCCUCACCGGGUGCCGGCCCUGAAAUACAGUGGCGGUCUCGCCGCAGCCUCUCCUGCGCAGUAGUUUGCACAACUCGCACCGGGAGCGCGGCGCGUCCACGUCCGUAAAACACCCAACUUCUGAAAUGUUGACCUCGGAUCAGGUAGGAAUACCCGCUGAACUUAAGCAUAUCAAUAAGCGGAGGGAAAAAA